ensembl:lncRNA
UGAAUGGGUUCAGACUGGUUCUACACUGGUUCCAGACUUUAUACUGGGUUUUAGAGUAGUUUUAGACUGGUUAUGGUGUAGUUUUCAGCUGGUUUUGGACCUGGUGUUCGACUGGUUUUGGUUUGGUUUUACCAUAAUUUUACAUUUUUAUGUUUUAGAUUUAUAGACUUAUAACUUGGUCUUAGAUUAGUUUCUGACCUGGUUUAAGACUUUUUGUAAACUGUCUUUUAAAAAACUCAUUUCAGACCUGUUCCUUAACUGUUUUUAUACUGAUUUCAGACUGGUUUUGGUCUGGUUCUACUCUGGUUCUUAGGUUGGUUCUUCUCUGGUUUUGGUCUGGUUCUACUCUGGUUCUUAGGUUGGUUGUACUCUGGUUCUUAGGUUGGUUUUACUGUGGUUUUCAUCUGGUUCUACUCUGGUUCUUAGGUUGGUUAAACUCUGGUUUUGGUCUGGUUCUACUCUGGCUCUUAGGUUGGUUCUACUGUGGUUGUUAGGUUGGUUCUACUCUGGUUGUUAGGCUGGUUCUGCUGUGGUUUUGGUCUUGUUCUGCUCUGGUUGUUAGGUUGGUUCUACUCUGGUUGUUCGGUUGGUUCUACUCUGGCUGUUAGGUUGGUUCUACUCUAGUUGUUAGGUUGGUUCUACUCUGGUUUUGGUCUGGUUCUACUCUGGUUUUGGUCUGGUUCUACUCUGGUUUUUAGGUUGGUUCUACUGUGGUUUGGGUCUGGUUCUACUGAAGCUUUCAUUGAAGAGCUUUCACUCAAACGGCGUGAGGAUGAAAUAAUUCUACUGCUUCUGUGAUCGUCUCUGCAGUUCGAGCUAAACGUUGCGUCGCCAAAAACACUCUUGACGACGACGAAGAGGACGAAGGCGAAGAGUACGACGACAGCUUCAUCAACGACGACAGCGAGGACGUCAGUGACGACUCAGACUACGUCCCUCCAGACUCAGACGACGACGGCAGGGAGGACGUCAAACGGCUGCGGAGAGAAGCUGCGACUUUCCUGAAGAGGAGGAAGUAGAUUCAUGUCGGGUUCAAAGAUCUGAAGCUUCAUUUACAGCUUUGAGUGGAAACACCAACAAGUCAGACGUCUGGAUCCAAACAGCCUCAAAUAUGGGGAAAAUUCAGGGAUAAUCAGCCAGUGCCUGGUUCUGUAUCUCCAGUGAAUUUAUUAAUGAUCAGAGUUCUUCCUUCAGAGUGGGGCUAUAUCCAGAGUUCCAGGUCCUUGCAGUCCAUAGAGGUGGUCCAAGAUAUUAAUAAGUGAUCUUUCCAGUUGUCAGUAGGUCUACUCUAGAACUUUCUCCAGUUGUCAGUAGGUCUACUCUAGAACUUCCUCCAGGGGACGUUUAGUCUCACUUAGAAACACAUCUGAGUUCUGGGAAACAUUACCACCAUUUAGGAUGAUAUUCAAGUCAUUUUGGACAAUCUUUGAGGAAUUUUAAACAUUUUCUUGUCGUUAUGAACACAUUUGGACUUAUUUUGGACAGAUCUGAAAAUGUUUUAAACAAAUUUGUGUGAUUUCUCAUAAGUUUAGUUUUAUUUAAAUACUAUUUUUGAACAAUUUCUGUGUACAUUUCUGUAAGUCUUCAGAGCUGAAUGUUCUAAGUGAGACUAACCUUAAAGACUGGAAGCAGGAAAGGAGAACAUCCCCUGGAGAAAGUUCUAGAAUAGACCUACCGACAACUGUAGAAAGUUCUAGAGUAGACCUACCGACAACUAGAGAAAGUUCUAGAGUAGACCUACCGACAAGUGGAGAAAGUUCUAGAGUAGACCUACGGACAACUCUUAGGAUCACUGAUUAGACCGUCUAAAAGUGGUAAAUCUGUCUCUGAUUUGAGCGUUGAUCUCGACAGAACCAGAACCGAUCAGUUUCUCCGAUCAUGAUAAAGUAACAAUUCAGACUUUUUGUGCCUUUUAUAUGAAGAAACGUUGGCAGGUGAGCUUGUGUUCGGGGACUUUAAACAUGAUCUUUGUGACGAUGAAUGAAAACGUUUGUUCUGUUUGUAUUUUAUCUGAAUUGUAUCUGUCUGCAAAUCUGCUCUUGUGCUUUGAAUACAUCCAGUAAAACAGACCAGUGUCCUGCUGAUGUUUUCCAGAGGCGGCAGAACGUUGAACCAAAUGUCUGUCGAUUAACUGAUGGACAAAAGAUUAUUGGUAAACUAUUUUAAUAUGAUAAAAUGUCCUUUCAUAUGUUUUAAGAAAUCUGAAGCACUUUCUCA